ACGGUGCUGAGGCGUACAACAUGCGCGUGCCUGCACACCGGUUUUCGGCUUCCCUAGUGAUGGGCCCGAUCUCUCGGGACGAAGGCUACCGUGAGUGUCAUUCUUCAUAAGAAUAACGGUAUGCUUCAUUAGCGCCUAAUCACCCCUUAGGGACGAGGAACUAACUUCAGAGUCAAAUGAGCUUUACUACUUUUCCAUAGUAGAAUUUAGCUUCGACCAUUUGUGCCUGAAUUCUUUGAAAUAACACAAGACGGAAAUAAAAUAAUUCCAGAGAAGAUGAUGAAAAUUUGCAAAAAUUUUUAAAGGAAAAAGGUUGACUUCCAGGCAGGAGAAAAUUGUCUUGAGGCACAUACUGCUUUCUUCUGGAUGAACUCUUCUUUAAAUCAUUCCUCUUUUUCUUCCUUUUCCCAUGAGGAAGUAGUUUAUCAAAUAUCUUCAUUUUUCUAUUUUCAACUGCCUUUGUUAAGAAAUCAUCACCAAGAAAGCAGAUUGUAUUGGUAUCACAAAGGAAGAAGUCUAUCAUCAGAAAAUAAUCUUAGGACAACUUACUUGGGACAAUUUUAAGUGGAAGAGUAUCGAGCACAAGACACACUGAACGCUAAUACGAAAAAGAGUGAUGAGAAAUGAAGAGAUACCGAUUUGAAAUGUGGGCGGCUUCGUAACACGGCUUAUCAUAGCGGGUGUUGCUGAUACUGGAUGAGCCGAUGGAAUCUCUGUAAUUCUACGUUGCCUUUGGACGAACGAUCGAUCUGUCGACGAAAUGAAGCCCCAGAAUCACAUACUGGCUUCAUAUUCUUCGAAUUACAUAUACGAACGUUUCUUCACCUUCCACGUUUCAAUUUUACUGUAUAUCAAAUAUGAAAAGAAUUCUUCAACUAGUUUUAAAGGGUUGAAAGUAAUGUAGGAUUUUUUUAAAAAUUCUGAAGGCUCUAUAACUAUUUAAAUUGAUGUAACUAGGCAGAUUGAUCUUCCAUAAGUAAUAAGUUUUCUUGUUAUUAAUAGAAAGAUUGUAGUCAAAUGAAAUUGUAUCGAUGUUGCAAGCUAGUAGCUUUAGAAUUAAGAAAAUAAAAUAUUAAAAUGUGGAAAUUCAGAUUUUGUACAUGAAAACUUAAGGUUUAUUGCUUAUUAGGCACUCAAAAUUUAUUAAACAACCAAAUAAUAUUUGUCAAUGAUACAAAUUCUAAUAAUACAAUUCAAUGAAUGUAAAAAAUAUACAGUAAUAUCAUGCAAAACAAAUCUCCUCAAAUCUGGGGACCGCUAUCUGAUAAUUAUGAAAAACAACGAGAAGUAAGAAAUAUUUUUAAACUAUAACAAUUUU